rnacentral:siRNA from 1 species
UCGGUGAACGGUUUUGGCGGA